rnacentral:tRNA from 1 species
GUAUUGAUGGUUCAGUGGUAGCAUUCUUGCCUUCCACGUAAGAGAUGUGGGUUCAAUUCCCAGCCAAUAUA